GAGAGAGAGAUCCUAGGCUAAGGAAGCCAUUUUGAUCAAAAUCCGAGCUCCGAAUCCCGAAGCUCAUGAAGAGAAAAACGUUGUACGUUGCGUUGCCUUCAAUUUGAGAUAAAUAUUGGUCUUGGGGGAUGAAAUUUUCGUGGUGGAGCUUCUGAUAAGGUUUUGGGCGAAACGGAGAUUGAGUUUGGACAAGCGUGAGUAGCGCGAAAGGUACUCCCAGGUGAGUUGAAGACAGUAUAGAAGAUGUUCCAGUGCAGAUGGCAAGCUCCAUUUGUUCCCGGAGUGCUGCCGAGUCAGAGUUGGUAUGUUAUGCUUUCUGGAU